UACGGGGGGGGCAAGCGUUGUCCGGAUUUACUGGGCGUAAAGAGCGUGUAGGCGGCCAAGCAGGUCCGUUGUGAAAACUGGAGGCUUAACCUCCAGACGUCGACGGAAACCGCGUGGCUAGAGUCCGGAAGAGGAGAGUGGAAUUCCUGGUGUAGCGGUGAAAUGCGCAGAUAUCAGGAAGAACACCAAUGGCGAAGGCAGCUCUCUGGGACGGUACUGACGCUGAGACGCGAAAGCGUGGGGAGCGAACAGG
rnacentral:rRNA from 1 species